AGCGAACGCUGGCGGCAGGCUUAACACAUGCAAGUCGAGCGGGCACUUCGGUGUCAGCGGCAGACGGGUGAGUAACACGUGGGAACGUGCCCUUCGGUUCGGAAUAACUCAGGGAAACUUGAGCUAAUACCGGAUACGCCCUUUGGGGGAAAGGUUUACUGCCGAAGGAUCGGCCCGCGUCUGAUUAGCUAGUUGGUGGGGUAAUGGCCUACCAAGGCGACGAUCAGUAGCUGGUCUGAGAGGAUGAUCAGCCACACUGGGACUGAGACACGGCCCAGACUCCUACGGGAGGCAGCAGUGGGGAAUAUUGGACAAUGGGCGCAAGCCUGAUCCAGCCAUGCCGCGUGAGUGAUGAAGGCCUUAGGGUUGUAAAGCUCUUUCGACGGGACGAUAAUGACGGUACCCGUAGAAGAAGCCCCGGCUAACUUCGUGCCAGCCGCCGCUGUAAC
rnacentral:rRNA from 1 species